GAUGAACGCUGGCGGCGUGCCUAAUACAUGCAAGUCGAGCGAACAGACGAGAGUGCUUGCACUCUCUGACGUUAGCGGCGGACGGGUGAGUAACACGUGGGUAACCUACCUAUAAGACUGGGAUAACUUCGGGAAACCGGAGCUAAUACCGGAUAAUAUUUAGCUUCGCAUGAAGCAAUAGUGAAAGACGGUUCUGCUGUCACUUAUAGAUGGACCCGCGGUGUAUUAGCUGGUUGGUGAGGUAACGGCUCACCAAGGCAACGAUACAUAGCCGACCUGAGAGGGUGAUCGGCCACACUGGGACUGAGACACGGCCCAGACUCCUACGGGAGGCAGCAGUAGGGAAUCUUCCGCAAUGGACGAAAGUCUGACGGAGCAAUACCGCGUGAGUGAAGAAGGUUUUCGGAUCGUAAAACUCUGUUGUAAGGGAAGAACAAGUACGUUAGUAACUGAACGUACCUUGACGGUACCUUACCAGAAAGCCACGGCUAACUACGUG
rnacentral:rRNA from 1 species